AGUAACGGCGAGGGAACGGAGAUUAGCCCAGCCCCGAAGCCUAUUCACGCUUGUGGACAAGGCAAUGUGGUGUUUAGGCGUGCACCUGGGAUGACUCGUCUACUCGAAGUCCUCUCCGAUUAUGGUCUUGGAUUUGUCCCAAAGAGGGUGAAAGGCCCGUUCGAGUAGACAUGCAGCAUUCUGAGUCAUCCUCUGAUUUGCACGCCUUGGAGUCGGAUUGCUUGAGAAUGCAGUCCAAAGUGGGUGGUAAACUCCAUCCAAGGCUAAAUACCUGCACGAGUCCGAUAGUAAACAAGUACCGUGAGGGAAAGUUGAAAAGUACUCUGAAGAGAGAGUAAAUAGUACGUGAAGCCGCCUGUUGGGAAGCGGAUGGAGUCAAGCUUCAUGCCUGAUUGAUUAGUGCUGCGAGAUCUCCUUGUUUAUAUGAUCGUUACUGAUGGUUUGCCUGGAAAUGGUGAGGCGGAUUAUCCGCUUCCUGCAAUCUGGGUUGCUUGCUUGAGCCAUCAGUUUCGGUUAGUCUCGCGCAUCCUAUCACCAGGCCUACAUCACGGUUGAUAGCCUCUUGGUGCUUGAUAGUCAAACCAUGUCCGUGUGGGUUAAGGCCUGCUGGUCGUGGGCUGGCAGGUGGUUGCAGAGCAUAGCGAUAUGCCUUUCAACUUAUGUUGUUUACAGCCGACUAUCAAGCCAAUGCUUUACUAUUUCGAGCUAUCAAUUUUCGUUCAACCAAUUGCCCUUACCGGCAGUUGGUGAGAGAACCGUGGUGUUGGAGUAGAUUUUCCAUCCGACCCGUCUUGAAACACGGACCAAGGAGUUUAACAUGCUGGCAAGUUAUUGGACUAUUUGAACUCCAAUGGCGCAAUGAAAGUAAAUGAUCAGCUUGCUGAUCUCAGGUGUGAUGCUGGGUUUCAUUAGACCGGAGCCAAGCCGCAACACCGGCCCGUCUCUGGAUGUAGUCAUCUUUGUCUUUUCAUUGGUGCAUCAUCGAGGCGGAGCAAGAGCCAGCAUGUUGAGACCCGAAAGAUGGUGAACUAUGCUUGCGUAGGUCGAAGCCAGAGGAAACUCUGGUGGAGGACCGUCGCGGUUUUGACGUGCAAAUCGAUCGUCAAACGUGUGCAUAGGGGCGAAAGACUAAUCGAACCAUCUAGUAGCUGGUUCCCUCCGAAGUUUCCCUCAGGAUAGCUGGCAAUCAUUUCGCUGAGACAGUUUUAUCCGAUAAAGCGAAUGAUUAGAGGUAUUGGGAACUAAUUGUUCUCAACCUAUUCUCAAACUAUAAAUGGGUACGAUGCUGGGCUCGCUUAAUUGGAGCUCUAGCAUUGAAUGUGAUUGCCAAGUGGGCCAUUUUUGGUAAGCAGAACUGGCGCUGUGGGAUGCUCCGAACGUGCAGUUAAGGUGCCACAUGCGGACGCUCAUGAGACACCAAAAAAGGUGUUAAUGCAUUAAGACAGCAGGUCGGUGGCCAUGAAAGUCGGAAA
rnacentral:rRNA from 1 species